GACAAACGCUGGCGGGGUGCGUGAGACAUGCAAGUCGAACGGGGUUUCACGGGGCUUGCUCUGUGAAACCUAGUGGCGGACGGCUGAGUAACGCGUAGGUGACCUGCCCGGAAGUGGGGAAUAACUGCCCGAAAGGGUGGCUAAUACCGCAUGUGGUCGUCGAAUCAGUUCGCCGACUAAAGGAGCAAUCCGCUUCCGGAGGGGCCUGCGUCCGAUUAGCUAGUUGGUGAGGUAACGGCCCACCAAGGCGACGAUCGGUAGCUGGUCUGAGAGGAUGAUCAGCCAGACUGGGACUGAGAACGGCCCAGACUCCUACGGGAGGCAGCAGUCGGGAAUUUUGCCCAAUGGACGAAAGUCUGAGGCAGCAACUCCGCGUGAGGGAUGAAGGCCUUCGGGUCGUAAACCUCUUUUCUCAGGGAAGAUACAAGACGGUACCUGAGGAAUAAGCCACGGC
rnacentral:rRNA from 1 species